GCACCUUAUUCCGUCAUAUUGUCUCUGGAUUAAAUGUAUUUCUAAUGUCACUUUUAUAAACAAAUAAAAGUUAAAACUACAAUAUUAUUGUAAAUUUGCAAUUGGAAGCUGCAAAGGGACAUUAGAAUGUGAGCAAGGUCGGAACAAUUUUCGAUUUAAGUGGAAUUUACGGAAGGAUUUGACCUCCCAACUAAUCUGCAAAAUGAAGAAGCAACAUAUUUUGUUACCGCUUAGAAGAAACAAUAGAAAUAGUACUGUGGAUUGAUAAAUAAAGAGUGAAAAUAAGGUUGACUAGAAGUUGAUAAAGUCCAAGGAAUUAAAAAACAAUAGAAAAAAACGUAAACUAGUGUGAUCACUGAAAUUAGAUUUUGAUUUAAGCUUUAGUUAGGUUUGGUGUUUGUGCUUGAACAUUUUUAAUGUCAAUUUGAAAGCAGAUUUAUAUAUAAGUGUAGAUUUUAUUUGUGACUUGCUACUAGUUGGAAUUAUCUGUUUAUGUCCAACAAACAAUUUCAGUUUAAGUUAGAGUCAUAAAGGUUGAUUGUUUAUAAUAUAUUUAUA